rnacentral:rRNA from 1 species
UACGUAGGGGCCGAGCGUUGUCCGGAGUUAUUGGGCGUAAAGCGCGCGCAGGCGGCCUCGCGCGCCCGACGUGAAAGCCCCCGGCUUAACCGGGGAGGGUCGUUGGGGACGGCGGGGCUUGAGGGCGGGAGAGGGCGGUGGAAUUCCCGGUGUAGUGGUGAAAUGCGCAGAUAUCAGGAGGAACACCGGUGGCGAAGGCGGGUCUCUGGGCCGAUACUGACGCUGAGGAGCGAAAGCGUGGGGAGCGAACAGG